GGCGGUAGGUCCGCCGUAGUCUGCUUACAGGAGCUGGCUACAAACCACCUUAAGCUGCUAUUGUAAAGAGCAAUGGUAGUGAGCGUUAAGGAAAGUCAGCAAUAGCUGGCGAGG
rfam:Legionella sp. LEGN contig_134, whole genome shotgun sequence.